UACAGAGGUCCCAAGCGUUGUUCGGAUUUACUGGGCGUAAAGGGCGCGUAGGCGGCAAUUCAAGUCAGCUGUGAAAUCUCCGGGCUUAACUCGGAACGGUCAGCUGAUACUGCUUUGCUAGAGUGCGGAAGGGGCAAUCGGAAUUCUCGGUGUAGCGGUGAAAUGCGUAGAUAUCGAGAGGAACACCUGAGGUGAAGACGGGUUGCCGGGCCGACACUGACGCUGACAGCGCGAAAGCCAGGGGAGCAAACGGG
rnacentral:rRNA from 1 species